AUUUAUAUAGUUUAAUAAAAACUUUACAUUUUCAUUGUAAAAUUAGAGUUUCUUCUCUUAUAAAUA
rnacentral:tRNA from 1 species